UUAACCCCUUGGCACACAGCCCCCUUUCACCUUCCUGAGACAGCCUCUUUUUCCAAAUCUGACAUGUUAUUUUAUGUGACAACUUUGGAAUGCUUUUA